AUCUAUGGCCAUGCCACCCUGAACACGCCUGAUCUCAUCCGAUCUCAGAAGCUAAGCAGGGAUGGGCGACCACCUAGGAAAACUGGGUGCUGUAGGCA
rnacentral:rRNA from 1 species